rnacentral:tRNA from 1 species
GGCCCGUUCGUCUAGCGGUUUAGGACGCCAGGUUCUCAACCUGAUAACGGGGGUUCGAUUCCCCCACGGGUCAC